UUGCUCACUUUGGCAGCAGGUAUGCUAAUAUUGGAAUGAUACAGAAACGUUUAGCAUGGCCCCUGCACAAGGAUGACACGCAAAUUUGUGAAACGUUCCAUAUAUAU
rnacentral:snRNA from 1 species